GACGAACGCUGGCGGCGUGCUUAACACAUGCAAGUCGAACGGUGACGAGGAGCUUGCUCCUCUGAUCAGUGGCGAACGGGUGAGUAACACGUGAGCAAUCUGCCCUUCACUUUGGGAUAACUCUGGGAAACGAGAGCUAAUACCGAAUACGACCACUUCAGGCAUCUGAUGGUGGUGGAAGGUUCCGGCGGUGAAGGAUGAGCUCGCGGCCUAUCAGCUAGUUGGUGGAGUAACGGCCCACCAAGGCUUCGACGGGUAGCCGGCCUGAGAGGGUGACCGGCCACACUGGGACUGAGACACGGCCCAGACUCCUACGGGAGGCAGCAGUGGGGAAUUUUGGACAAUGGGCGCAAGCCUGAUCCAGCCAUUCCGCGUGCAGGAUGAAGGCCUUCGGGUUGGUAACUAGCUUUUGUUACGGUAACGAAACGGUACGUGCCUAACUACGGCGGGCGUAAUAGACGGUACCGUAAGAAUAAGACACCGGCGUAACUACGUAGCCAGCAGCCGCGGUAAACG
rnacentral:rRNA from 1 species